UACGAAGGGGGCUAGCGUUGUUCGGAAUUACUGGGCGUAAAGCGCACGUAGGCGGCUUUGUAAGUUAGAGGUGAAAGCCCGGGGCUCAACUCCGGAAUUGCCUUUAAGACUGCAUCGCUAGAAUUGUGGAGAGGUAAGUGGAAUUCCGAGUGUAGAGGUGAAAUUCGUAGAGAUCCGGAGGAACACCAGUGGCGAAAGCGGCCACCUGGACUGUACCUGACGCUGAAACGCGAAAGCUAGGGGAGCGAACGGG
rnacentral:rRNA from 1 species